CAGGGGGCCGAGGCAGCUGCGGGGUCGAAAGAUCGCGAGGAAAGUCCGGGCUCCACGAAGCAAAGGUGGCGGGUAAUGCCCGCCGAGUGUUCGCCUUUUAGGCGGGCAUUUAGGGAAAGUGCCACAGAGAGUAUACCGCCGAUGGCCCCUAAAGGGCACAGGCAAGGGUGAAAGGGUGCGGUAAAGGCGCACCGGGGCGCUGGUAACAUCGUCCGCAUGGUAAACCCCACCUGGAGCAAGGCCAAAUAGGGAUCUCGCGCCGUUACGGCAGGAGCGCUUCGCGCCGAGAGAUCCGGGUUGGCUGCUUGAGCUGUUCAGCAAUGGACAGCCUAGAUGAAUGGUUGCCGCCGCACGGCAGGUCUGCCUGGCAGAUACCGCGGGCGGAGACAGAACCCGGCUUAUGAAGCCCCCUGACAC
rnacentral:RNase_P_RNA from 1 species